rnacentral:rRNA from 1 species
UGGAUACGCUUGUUUCAAAGAUUAAGCCAUGCAUGUGAAAGUAAAACUAAUUAUACUGGAAAACUGCGAACGGCUCAAUAUAUCAGUUAUAGUUUAUUUGAUAAUGUCUUUUAAUUGGAUAAUUGUAGUAAUUCUAGAGCUAAUACAUGCAUAACAGCCGAACUUCGGAACGGCCGUAUUUAUUAGAUUUUAAACCAUCAUUUUUGGAUGAUUCAUAAUAACUAAUCGGAUCGUAGAGACCUUUGAGUCGACGAUAAAUCAUUCGAGUUUCUGCCCCAUCAGCUGUCGAUGGUAGUGUAUUGGACUACCAUGGCUUUCACGGGUAACGGGGAAUUAGGGUUUGAUUCCGGAGAGGAAGCCUGAGAGA